UAGCUCAGUUGGUAGAGCAGUUGACUUUUAAUCAAUUGGUCGCAGGUUCGAAUCCUGG
rnacentral:tRNA from 1 species